AGGGAGGCUCAGGGAGCCAUAUCAAAAAGUACAGCUUUGUUUUCAGUCCUGUUACAGGGUAUCCAUGGAAACGAGGAUGACUUUCCAAUCCUUUUCUGGGGAAGGCACUGCAUUCACUGCAAUACAGUCUCUUCAACUAAAAUUUUGCAAAACAGCUCCCCAGGGUGACUGCUUUUUAUCCAAAAAGCCUGCAGUACAGCUGGCUGGAGGGAGCUAGCCCCUUUUAACCCUCCCACAAAACUGGCAUUUCUCAGCAGGUCUGGGGAUCCUGCUUUCCAGCUGGAUUUCAUGGGAGAGGAGAGCAGCCAGCAUCUCCUGCUGACACCAAACCCCUUCCCAAGGUGCCUGGGGGUGGAGGGAGGUGGUGGUGACGAGGUGGGCAGGGUGAGUGGAGGCCCUGGGGGAAGGCAGACAAAUUCCUCCCCUGGCUUCAGGAGCAGGGCUGGUUUGGGGACAUCAGGGCUAAAGAUGGGUGGCAUGUGUGAAUAUGUGAUGCCAGGAAUCUGACAGGGAAAUCUUGUUCUGCUUAGAGAUGGAAAAUCUCUGGAAGUUUUAAAGGCAUGAGGAGGAAAAUAUUUUUUUAAAAAACCCACCAAAUUUAGGAAAUUCAAAUAAUUUCAGUAGUUAUGCUGCUUAUAAGAAUUAUUGGGUUUUUAAUUCUUUACGGGUGAAAAUAUGAUUUAUGCAGUUAGCUCAACAGAGGAGGUGAUGGAUACAUUUACAAAGCUGAGUUUCAGUUUUUAUUUUCAAACUGUGAGUGACAUGACCACUGUAUGCUAGGCACUUACUUGUACACGUGUUGCCUACUAACAUAUUUCUAACUUAAAGAAAAGAAAAUGCUGAAAAAUUAAAAGGAGCCAUCUAGCUGGUUUUUAAGUAAGAAAGAAGGCUGUAUCCUACCUCAAGAUAUCAACAAAUUUAAGAGAAUAGAGCAAAAGCUUGAAAAAUUAACAUUUGCUCUCUCUCUCCUUAGUGUCUGUGAGGCAGCUGACACAACAGCAGCCAAAACCAUCAUUAAAUUAGGUAUAGAAGCUGAGAGUCUGUAAGCAUUUUAAUUGCUUGAUACCAUGCAGGUUUGAAAUAAAAGACCUUCAUUUGAAAUAUUUUAGUUAUUGAAAGCAUUUUGAAGAGCUGAGAAUGGCAGCAGUCAUGUCGUGUUAAACAUUUCUCUAACCUUCCCUGUUCACUCUGAGCAAAAUUAAUUUACAAGAAUGUUUCUUCUACAUUUCUUCUCCAAGUAUACAGUUUUCCAUAUAAGAAAAAGAUAUUAAUUAAACAGGCUUUUUUUUUUCUCUCAAGCCUUGCAUUUUUCCCAGUCUCCUAUAUCUCAGUUGGCUCUUGAUCCUCCCACAUUAAGAGUCCCUAGACUGGAUUUUCCUGUUGAUCAAGGGAAUGGGGUCUUGUAACCAGACAUGUCAUAGCUCACAUUUGUCACCUUGCUCCCAUUAGUUAGAAAAGGGAUUUGUGCAUCCAAACUUGCAGAGAUUUGGCCCCACUGUUGUUCUGUGCCUGUGUGCCAUUACUGAAUAAAGGAGAAGGAUUUGUUUUGGAUUAUUUGCUUUCCUAACAAUUUGUUGCUCUGGUUUCCUAUGGAAAUCUGUAACUCCACCUGCACUCUCCUAGUGCAGCUGCCACACCUGGCGACCACUUCUCCAGUACUGGGGCUCUGGUGGGGACACAGUGGGGACACAGGACAGACAGGGGAUGUUCCUGGGCAUGUCAUGGCUCUGUGGGCUGGGGCCUGGUGGCCCUGACCUCUCCUUGUGAGAGAAGGAUGGGUUGGAAAAGCCAUCAGGCUUCGUGACCCCAAGGCAGGACGAGAGCCGCUGGGUCUGCAUGCCUGAGCCUCUGCCACCCCCUUUCAGCACUGCUGCCAGAGCAAAGGGAUUAUAUUGCAAUCCCUCCCAUUGGGAAUCUGCUUUUCUGUGAGGAAACACGCUCAUUAGCCAGGCAAAAAUAAAGAUGCUUAAAAAGAGGUCAUGCUCUCGGGCUCCUGUGAAAUCACAUCUGAUAGCAAGCCUCUCCGUGGCUCUUUUUUCUCUGAGGCACUGCUUAAUUAAACUUGAGCCCCACUGCUCCCCAGCCAGGCUCCAAAACAAAAGCCAGGUGGCUGGGUGGGCACUCCCCUGCUGCAGCUUUGUGCCAGCCCCACUGCCAGCUCCAGCAGCACAGCUGGGACUCCUGGUGCUCACUGGGAUCUGUCCCUUCCCUGCCCCUCGGUCACAGCACGGGGAGACACAGGAGGGGGACAGUCCCCAUUUCUGGGGCUCUUCUUCAGCAGGGACGUCCCCAGUACACAACAUUACACCACAAACCCAGUGUAAAGUUUUGCCCUACCCUUAAGAAGAUUAUUUUCCCUCUCUGCAGGUCAUUUUGGUGGACCUGGUGGUUCAGAACAGCAAAGCAAAGCAAGGAAUAGGAGACAGCACCAAAACCACUAAAAUCCCCCCUUCUCUCCAAAGCAGACUAUCUUCUGCAGCUUUCUUUGUCACAAAACUCCCUUCCUUGCAUCUGAUGUGGGAUUCAGCAGCCAGACAGCAGUACAAAAAGGCUAGACUUGAUGUUUGUUUGGUGGCUGCACAGAGCCCAUAGAAAUGUGUCUGAGGGUUUUUUUCCUUCCUAUUCAAAGCUUUACCUCCUGCUGAGUCACCAGAGGCUGGCUGAGGGAGUGUAUCAUGCAUAAUUAUUUGGAAAAGCAAUCUGACAUGCUAACUCCUGUCCCAAAAUGUGCAAUUUGUAAUAUACAGAAGGGCAAAACGCAACUUAAAUGCUUUAGAAGAUUCCUUGCCUCAUUUAAUUCUCUCAUGGCAGAUUUAACCAAGAGGCCAGGAAAAUACAGGACCCAACAGACACUUCCAGAACACAGCCCUUGGUGCUUUCUAAACACCUAAGAUGCCCUGUGCAGUGACUGGGAGGAGGCAGCUGCUUCAGUCCUUCUCUCAGCAGCAAACACCAGGAGGUGUGGAAUGACAGCCACAGGAUCAGAGGUGCUCUGUCUCCCUCAAUAACCCAGCAGGGGGAUGGGACCCUACACUUUGCACUUGCUGCCAUUCCUGAAUCUGAAGAGAACUCAUGAAGAAGCAAGCACAAUAAUUGAUUGGUUCUAUUAAUAUGUCCAAAACUGAUUUCCUGCACUGACCAUAGCUUAAUGAAUAAUUUUCCCAGCAAAGUUUGCAGGUACAGCUCCAAGCUGUGAUGGUCCUGUGGAGCACUGGCAGCAGUAAAACAUCCAACUGCUGGAUCCCUGCCUCCCUCUUGGUGUCUCCCCUUCCCUGCAUCCCAGUCUGAAUGGGUCUCUGGGAUGGUGAGUGGGACAAACAGGAGAAGCUAUCUGUGAAAAAUCUAUUAAAAUAAUGUUCCUGAUAGUUAGUGCAUUUGCAUGUGUAAUGGCUGAGGUGCUUUCCCUGGAUUAUGCCAUUGCCAGCUUGGGAAUGGCCAUAAGGCAUGUCUGCUCCAAACUAUGGUAAGCAUUACUGGAAGGUGCUGGGUGGAGCAGGGAGGGGGGCAGCUAUUAUGUGU